UCCUGGCAAGGGUGUCCUUUCUAACAUGGCAAAUUCCAUACACACUAAUCUUCUCUAUACCAUCUGGAAGUAAAUACUAAAAAUGUUAAAGAGGAAAAAUAAAUCAUCCAGACCCUCCAGUGCUCCAAUACCAUGAGUUCCAAUGUCAAAAGAAUGUGUGAUUUACUCUUUUGAGGUGUAUAUAUUCAGAUGUACAAACAGUUCUCAUUCCUAUGCCUGACGGUUCCUUCUGCUGUCUGCCUUUGGAUCUGGAUCUGUAUCAGAAUUUUCCCUUUGAGUCUCAUUGUCUUUGACCCCUGCCUGGCUCUUGCGCCGUCUUCGAUCCUGCAAUUUCCAUCCACAAACAUUUAAGAAUCAUCUUAUUAACACAUGGAACAAAUUCUAACUCCCAAUUUACAGAUGCAAGAAAAUCCACAUUUGAUGAGACUUCAAGAAAAAAUAACAAGGCUAAACCAAGUCAGCUUAGUUUGAACUUCAAAGAGAACUUCAGAAUCAAACCUCUCUAGGUAUAGGAUAUUCCUCUGACUCAAGCAUACGAACUACUUGGCUCAUCUUUGGUCUUUUCUCAGAAUCUGGAUCCACACAUCUUAAAGCAGUUAGAAGAGCUCGUUUAAGGGCACUUGUGGAUGGUCUUGUCUCAAUCAUGGGGUCUACAACCUCUUCUGACCGUCUUGUUGCAACCAUCAUCUUCAACCACUCCACCAGAUUUACCUGAAAGAUUCACCCAAUAGGAUUGUGUCAAGACAGUCGUGAUCCAUGCUCACAUUGUUAUCCGUGUUUCGUCUACAUUAAAUAAGCACCAGCUCAUACCAUUGCUUGAUAGAAUAUAUGGAAUUUGCACUAGGAUUAUUUGUUUCCCGGAUGCAUCGAAAGCAAAUUAUAAUCAGAACAUUCAGUUAAGCAACGCUGAUGUAACGUCUAAAACCCAUUUCAUGAAAACAUGUGAAUCGCUGCUCAGGAGAAAGAUGCAUCACGUGUGCAAAACAGAAGCACAUCAAUUUAUGGUGAAAAGAAAUGUUUAAUGCAUACCUCAUUCUCAGGGCGACCAUAAUCCACUGGAUCUCUUCCAGUGAUUGCUUCCAAAAGCACAACUCCAAAGCUAUAAACAUCACUCUUUUCAUUCAGAAGACCAGAAUUGGCAUAUUCUGGAGCAACAUAACUGAACCAACAUUCAAUGAAGGAAAUGUUAGAAUAUAAAAGCGCAAAUUAAAAUUCAUGCGAAAUGGGAAAAGAUAGAUUGUUAAAACAGUUGCUUCAAAUUCAAUCAAGCAACCAUACUGAGAUAUAACAAUCAACACAAGAUGAAAAAGAUACGGUGCGCCAUUAAAUUGCAUGCAACUGAUAGGAAAAGAGUACUUACCCAAAUGUACCCAUGACUCUAGUUGUAAUAUGACUUUUUCCAGAACCCAAUAAUUUGGCCAGGCCAAAAUCCGAUAUCUUAGCUUCAAAAUUGUCAUCAAUCAAUAUGUUGCUCGAUUUUACACCAAGAUCUGUACACACCACUCCUGGCAAGGGUGUCCUUUCUAACAUGGCAAAUUCCAUACACACUAAUCUUCUCUAUACCAUCUGGAAGUAAAUACUAAAAAUGUUAAAGAGGAAAAAUAAAUCAUCCAGACCCUCCAGUGCUCCAAUACCAUGAGUUCCAAUGUCAAAAGAAUGUGUGAUUUACUCUUUUGAGGUGUAUAUAUUCAGAUGUACAAACAGUUCUCAUUCCUAUGCCUGACGGUUCCUUCUGCUGUCUGCCUUUGGAUCUGGAUCUGUAUCAGAAUUUUCCCUUUGAGUCUCAUUGUCUUUGACCCCUGCCUGGCUCUUGCGCCGUCUUCGAUCCUGCAAUUUCCAUCCACAAACAUUUAAGAAUCAUCUUAUUAACACAUGGAACAAAUUCUAACUCCCAAUUUACAGAUGCAAGAAAAUCCACAUUUGAUGAGACUUCAAGAAAAAAUAACAAGGCUAAACCAAGUCAG
rnacentral:lncRNA from 1 species